UUAACCCAGCGGGUGCUGUAAACAGUACGUUGGCGGUUCACACCAGUUCAGAAGUAAGGUAUCUUAAAUUGCACUCGACAAUGUUGUGAAUACUUUAAAAUGCUUGAAGCCAUACUUGAUGCCUUCCAUAACGUGUAAAGUAAGAAGUUAGCCUGUGUUAAAAAGUGGUGAUCCCUGCAGAUUACCAAGGCAUCCAGUCUCCCAGCAAGUGCCAAGAGGCAUUCAUUCAAUGCUCCGCUGACACCAAUUUGCCCAAAGAAUAUUUAUGUGGGAGACUCCUCAGAUUGUGGAGACCCCAGAUUGUGGAGGCUCCUGGGCAGCUGGUCUUUUUGUGGACUCCUAAAUCUGGCACUGAACAAAAUUCUCUCUCUCUCUCUCUCUCUCUCUCUCUCUCUCUCUCUCUCUCUCUCUCCUCUCUCUCUCUCUCUCUCUCUCUCUCUCUCUCUCUCUCUCUCUCUCUCUCUCUCUCUCUCUCUCUCUCUCUGUCUCUCUCUCUCUCUCUCUCUCUCUCUCUCUCUCUCUCUCUCUCUCUCUCUCUCUCUCUCUCUCUCUCUCUCUCUCUCUCUCUCUCUCUCUCUCUCUCUCUCUCUCUCUCUCUCCUCAACUCUCAACCACUGGAUGGUAUAUCAGUUCACACAGCAAGAAGCCAAGGACCCACCGAGGCUGUCACUUGGAAGAGGUCAUUGUUGUUGCAUCCAGCAUCCCAGCCUGACUGCCUAGACAGGUCCCGCAGGUUGCUGAAUGGCAGAGGUGCAGGCUGCUCCACAGCAAGAUGUGAGACCAGUGUGGCAGAGUAUGAUGUGUACACAAUGAGGGACACACUGUAGCCAACCCAGUAGAUUACCCGUGCUGCAGUGCUGAUUGGGUCCUCACCUUGUUGUAGGAGAGCUGACAACAUGUACCAGCCAGCAGCAACUCCCAUGCUAACAGGCUUCUCCCCCGUGGGUAUGUAGCACCUCUGGAGUCGCUCGAUGAAGAAGAGGAUGCUGGCGAGGCCUGUCGUGUUAGCCGGGAUGCGCCGGUACAGAGCUGUGUCCGUUGGGGUUGUGUAGGCAAACAUCUUCUUGGCAAGGUCCUCGUGGGUGGCCGCAAACAGUUUACGGCUGUGGGAUGAGAACUUGUCUUGUGAAUGUGACAUUGGGCAGCGUUCGACCGUUUCUCUAGGGGCAAGCGACACCUCCUGGUGGGGACUUCAAAUCUGCUGUCGCUGCCUUCGAGGAGGCAACAGAGUCCCUGGUGGAGCUGUGUGGGGAGCAGGCGCCCGAGUGUGGUGACGCGUACUGCCGCUGUGGCCGUGCAUUGCUGGAGCUGGCACGCAAGGAGGCAGGGGUGCUGGGGCCAGAUCUGGAUGGUGCCAGUAGUCAGGAGGGAAGCACAGGGGAAGAGGAGGACGAGGAGGAAGAGAGUUAAGAGUCACAAGAGGAGGAGGAAGGUGGAAAGAAAGAGGAAGGAGAGGAGGAGGAGGAGGAGGAGGAAGAUGGAGAAGGAAAGGAGAAAGAUAAGAAGGAAGGAAAUGCCGCAGAAGGAGAAGAGCAAUAAGAAAUUAGAAUUGACAGAGAAACCAGACAAGGGACUGCAUUUGAAGAAGCACAAGAACCAAGAAAUUACAUCAUUCAAUGAAAUGACAACAUAAUCUAAAGUACAGAUACCAAGGGGAAAUUGCUGGGUCAAGUGGCUACACUGACAUCUGAGGUUAGCAGGUUGGAGAGUGAGUGCAGCAGUCUUCAGGUUCAGCUAGACUGUGAGAGGGAUAAGUAUAACAAACUGCUGGGAGAAUCUCUUGCUCAUGAAAAGUUGUCUGAAGAUGUCAUAACUGAACCAAAAGGAGAAACAACAGGAUUGGGAGGAACUGAGCUUUAACAGAAGCUGCAACAACUGCAGGAGGCUCACAGGGUCCUGGAGAGCAGGUUAACUUGCAGCAUGAAGGAGGUGGCUGAGCUGAGUGACAGGAAGUAGCAGCUUGAGCAUGCUGUAGUGCAUGAGGAGACAGAGUCCAUCGGUGACUACAUCACCAUCUACCAGUUGCAGCGAGGAGUGAUGAAGCAACAAGCUCGAGAACGCGAGUUAGACCUUGCCAGCCUCCAUCAUGAAUGAGAGGAAAUGAAGCAAAACCACUCUGCAGGAUUUGAUAUCAAAGCUGGUGCAGGAAAAGGAAGCAGAUCAUGACCUUCAGCAGCUCGAGAAGAUAAGCAGCGUCCUUAAGAGUCCAGUUGCUAUCUUUAGCAGUGUUGGAACCAGUGAGUCUAAGACACCCACCAGCAGUGGAAAGGUGGCUGACGAGCGCCUCAAGCACUCUGAAAAGGUGGAGCAACAACAAGAAACAGAAAAUUGCAUCCAUCAUUCUUUGCCUGAGGAGGGAAUUGAUGCUCUGUUGACCCUUCACACUGAUGUCCCUCAUGAGGAGGCAGAAUAUGAAUCCUACAGAACUUGCCCAUAGAAAGACCAAAACUGUUACUGCUGCCACACUGCCACCACUUCCACUGACACCAAAAGCCCAACUGUGCAGAGAAUCCUGGACCUCCGCAAUGAAAUGGAGUCCACCAGUCACCUGGAGCACUUUAGCCUCCAAAAGUUCCAUCCAUGUCCAUUGUGUUUGGGUAAACUUAUCACUGUAUAAGGGGACAAGUAUCAGUGUAUGGUUACUAUAUACUCAUUUGUACUUAAAGAUGUCAUGUCACAUCAUUCUCUCUCUCUCUCUCUCUCUCUCUCUCUCUCUCUCUCUCUCUCUCUCUCUCUCUCUCUCUCUCUCUCUCUCUCUCUCUCUCUCUCUCUCUCUCUCUCUCUCUCUGUUUGGAAUUAUACUGUAUAUUAGGAAAUAUCAUUAAAGAGUGUGUGUGUAAAAAGUGUUUGCAUUAUUGUGCAUUUGAUGUUGGUUUCAUGAUUUAUAAAGAUUGCUAUUUUUAAUAAAGUUAUUGAAAUUGUUA